CCUACGGGAGGCAGCAGUAGGGAAUCUUCCGCAAUGGACGAAAGUCUGACGGAGCAACGCCGCGUGCAGGAGGAAGGCCUUCGGGUUGUAAACUGCUUUUAUCUGUGACGAUUUCAGACGGUAGCAGAUGAAUAAGGAUCGGCUAAUUCCGUGCCAGCAGCCGCGGUAAU
rnacentral:rRNA from 1 species